GAUAGAAACCAAAGAGAGGUAUAUCACUGUUAAUGAUAUGAUUGAAACUAUUUCCUAUCAAUAUU
rnacentral:tRNA from 1 species